rnacentral:rRNA from 1 species
AGUGAACGCUGGCGGUAGGCCUAACACAUGCAAGUCGAACGGCAGCACAGUAAGUUCUUGCUCUUACGGGUGGCGAGUGGCGGACGGGAGAGGAAUACAUCGGAAUCUACUUUUUCGUGGGGGCUAAGGUAAGGCAGCUUAAGCUAAUACCGCAUACGACCUACGGGUGAAAGCAUGGGAUCUUCGGACCUUGCGCGAAUGAAUGCGCCGAUGUCGGAUUAGCUAGUUGGCGGGGUAAAGACCCACCAAGGCGACGAUCCGUAGCUGGUCUGAGAGGAUGAUCGGCCACACUGGAACUGAGACACGGUCCAGACUCCUACGGGAGGCAGCAGUGGGGAAUAUUGGACAAUGGGCGCAAGCCUGAUACAGCCAUACCGCGUGGGUGAAGAAGGCCUUCGGGUUGUAAAGCCCUUUUGUUGGGAAAGAAAAGCAGCAGGUUAAUACCCCGCUGUUCUGACGGUACCCAAAGAAUAAGCACCGGCUAACUACGUG